UAGGGAAUCUUCCGCAAUGGACGAAAGUCUGACGGAGCAACGCCGCGUGAGUGAUGAAGGUUUUCGGAUCGUAAAACUCUGUUGUUAGGGAAGAACAAGUAUGAGAGUAACUGCUCGUACCUUGACGGUACCUAACCAGAAAGCCACGGCUAACUACGUG
rnacentral:rRNA from 1 species